AAACCGGCCGCUGAAAGGAGGUGGUUUUCCUGGCACACGUCGGGGACGCGGUGUCGGGGGCUUUCGGUGUAGGCUCCCCGGAGCUCCCCGGGGCUGGGGAAGCAGCUCGCGUUGCCGAUUGGUGGUGUGUCGGUAAUCGACUCGCUCUGUGGCCGAUGCGCGUCUUGCUCGGACUCAGAGCCGGCGCUUUGCAGUGAAGAAGUUGCUCCUAGAUAAGCUUGAAAGCUGGAUGAACGAUCUUGCCUCGGUUCACGAUGUCGGUGACGUCGUCUGGCCCCACUGGACUGGGUAGCUGAUGCUAGCUGUGUGUAUUUGUUCAGGGAAGCCACCUCGCAUUUAUGUGUGUUUAUGAAAUUCCACAAUUUCAGAAAAUCGGUUAAAACAGUAAAUAAUGGAGAGAUCGGGAGCGGAGUCUCUUGACAACCUGACAUCCAGUUUGGCUGUGGAAACUGAAAAUCAGAGUGAUAACUUUUCUGGUAGCAGUUUAUUUAAAACUCAGUGUGUUCCUUGCUCACCUAAACGGAGGCAAAGAAGCCCAAUUAGGAAAUUUGUUCAUUCACCUGAAAACGUUCAAGCAAGAGAUUCAUCAUCAAGUGACUCAUCUUUUGAACCAAGACCACUGUCUUUAAAAGCUAUUUUUGAAAGAUUCAAGAAAAAGAAGCGUACAAAGAGGAAAUACAAGCCAACGGGAAGACGAAGGGGAAGACCGGAAGGAAGAAAAAAUAGUCGACGCUCACAAAUAGAUAAGAAACAGUGUAAAAGCAAAGGAUCUGGCUUCCCUUUUGUAGAAUCAGAGAAUGGCAGAAAACCAUUACCUUGGAGGAAAAUAUUAAUCUUUGAGCAAGCUGUUGCAAGAGGGUUUUUUAACUACAUUGAAAAACUGAAGUACGAACACCACCUGAAAGAAUCUUUGAAACAGAUGGAUGUUGGUGAAGAUUUAGAAAAAGAAGAUCUUGAUAGUCGUAGAUAUAAAUAUUUGGAUGAUGAUGGAUCCAUUUCUCCUAUUGAAGAAUCAAUAGCAGAGGAUGAGGAUGCAGCACCUCUUGAACAUGAUGAAUGCGAUAUCAAAUUGGCAGGAGAUAGUUUCAUAUUAAGUUCUGAGUUCCCAGUGACAAUGGGAACAAGAGAAUACUGAAGAAGUUGCUUUGUCUAAAAAGAGAACAGAACAGAGACAUAGGCCAGAAGACACCAUGGCCUGAAAAGGAGAAAAAAUCAUGAAUGUCGAAGAAGGCUUUUUUGAGAACAUGUCUGAAGUUGCAGGUAUUGGCAUAUUCCGCUGAUUACUAUUGACUUACAUUUAGGUAAGUUUUAGUUGGUGACAAAGUAAUCUUGGGAAUAGAAUUACAGUUCAGAUGAUGAAUUUAAUGUUCAACUGCUGGAUGAUAACAGACAUGAACUAAAACUCAAUUCUGACAGAGCUGGGUGUAAGUCUGGAUAUUAAAAUUAGGCUUUAGUUUUUACAACAACUGGAAGUACUUGAGGCAUCCUUCCUAAAUUUUAAUUGGUACUUUCUGUAGGAAUGACUGACUUGAACUCGUUCAUGUUUAGAGGAUGUCUAAUUGAGAAGCAGGUACAUCAUCCACUCUAGAAACCUAAAAACGAAGACAAAAACAGUUACCUAUGCUUCCAGAAGGUCAGGAUCAUUAUCACUGUCCAUGUCCACAUCUCGUCACACUGGAAGGUCUUCAAGGCUAGUAACUAAUUCAUGGAGCUUUCAUGAACUGUGGUGGUAAUGCUUUCUUCUGGAAUAUCUCUUGGAGGAUCUGCUAGAGACUGUUUUAAAAUUAGCUUUUAUUAAGUAGAAGGUUGCGCAUGCUAAAAAGUGUAUCACAAAUACAGAAGCCAGUGAUAUGUGCUGUACUUUUAAUACAACUGGCAGUACAGGUUUGCUCACACUGGCAUCACCACAGCACGUGAGGAUUAUGAGGACGCGAGUCUUAGGAAUUUUUCAGUUUAAUCUUUUUUUGAGUUGG